rfam:Picea glauca, whole genome shotgun sequence.
GGGUGCAAUCAUACCAGCGUUAAUGCACCGGAUCCCAUCAGAACUCCGCAGUUAAGUGUGCUUGGGAUAGAGUAGUACUGGGAUGGGUGACCUCCUGGGAAGUCCCAGUGUUGCCCCCU